UACGUAGGGGGCAAGCGUUGUCCGGAUUUAUUGGGCGUAAAGAGCGUGUAGGCGGCCAUACAGGUCAGCUGUGAAAACUCGAGGCUCAACCUCGAGACGUCGGUUGAAACCGUAUGGCUAGAGUCCGGAAGAGGAGACUGGAAUUCCUGGUGUAGCGGUGAAAUGCGCAGAUAUCAGGAGGAACACCGGUGGCGAAGGCGGGUCUCUGGGAAGUAACUGACGCUGAGAAGCGAAAGCAUGGGUAGCAAACAGG
rnacentral:rRNA from 1 species